CCUACGGGUGGCAGCAGUGAGGAAUAUUGGUCAAUGGGCGCGAGCCUGAACCCGCCAAGUCGCGUGAGGGAUGACGGUCCUACGGAUUGUAAACCUCUUUUGCCGGGGAGCAAGCGUGCGUUCGUGAACGCGCGUCGAGAGUACCCGGCGAAAAAGCAUCGGCAAACUCCGUUCCAGCAGGCGCGGUCAUACGAAGGAUGCGAGCUUUAUCCGGAUUUAUGGGGUUUAAAGGGUGCGUAGGCGGGGUGCAAAGUCAGCGGUAAAAAUGCGGUGCUCAACGCCGUCGAGCCGUUGACACUGGCGUUCUUGAGUGGGCGAGAAGUAUGCGGAAUGCGUGGUGUAGCGGUGAAAUGCAUAGAUAUCACGCAGAACUCCGAUUGCGAAGGCAGCAUACCGGCGCCCUACUGACGCUGAGGCACGAAAGCGUGGGUAUCGAACAGGAUUAGAUACCCGUGUAGUC
rnacentral:rRNA from 1 species